rnacentral:rRNA from 1 species
CAGCACCUCAAGUGGUCAGGAUGAUUAUUGGGCCUAAAGCAUCCGUAGCCGGCUCAGUAAGUUUUCGGUUAAAUCUGUACGCUUAACGUACAGGCUGCCGGGAAUACUGCAGAGCUAGGGAGUGGGAGAGGUAGACGGUACUCGGUAGGAAGGGGUAAAAUCCUUUGAUCUAUUGAUGACCACCUGUGGCGAAGGCGGUCUACCAGAACACGUCCGACGGUGAGGGAUGAAAGCUGGGGGAGCAAACCGGAUUAGAUACCCGCGUAGUCC